rnacentral:rRNA from 1 species
CCUACGGGUGGCUGCAGUGAGGAAUAUUGGUCAAUGGACGAGAGUCUGAACCAGCCAAGUAGCGUGAAGGAUGACUGCCCUAUGGGUUGUAAACUUCUUUUAUAUGGGAAUAAAACGUUCCACGUGUGGGAUUUUGUAUGUACCAUAUGAAUAAGGAUCGGCUAACUCCGUGCCAGCAGCCGCGGUAAUACGGAGGGUCCGAGCGUUAUCCGGAUUUAUUGGGUUUAAAGGGAGCGUAGGGGGGUUGUUAAGUCAGUUGUGAAAGUUUGCGGAUCAACCGUAAAAUUGCAGUUGAAACUGGCAGUCUUGAGUACAGUAGAGGUGGGCGGAAUGCGUGGUGUAGCGGUGAAAUGCUUAGAUAUCACGAAGAACUCCGAUUGCGAAGGCAGUUCACUGGACUGCAACUGACACUGAGGCUCGAAAGUGUGGGUAUCAAACAGGAUUAGAUACCCCAGUAGUC